rnacentral:tRNA from 1 species
UAGCUCAGUUGGUUAGAGCACCACCUUGACAUGGUGGGGGUCACUGGUUCGAGUCC